UACAGAGGUCCCAAGCGUUGUUCGGAUUCAUUGGGCGUAAAGGGCGCGUAGGCGGCCAACUAAGUCAGACGUGAAAUCCCCAGGCUCAACCUGGGAACUGCGUCUGAUACUGGAUGGCUUGAAUCCGGGAGAGGGAUGCAGAAUUCCAGGUGUAGCGGUGAAAUGCGUAGAUAUCUGGAGGAAUACCGGUGGCGAAGGCGGCAUCCUGGACCGGCAUUGACGCUGAGGAGCGAAAGCCAGGGGAGCAAACGGG
rnacentral:rRNA from 1 species